GAUGAACGCUGGCGGCGUGCUUAACACAUGCAAGUCGAGCGAGUGAGUUCUUCGGAACGAUCUAGCGGCGGACGGGUGAGUAACACGUGGGCAACCUGCCUCAUAGAGGGGAAUAGCCUCCCGAAAGGGAGAUUAAUACCGCAUAAAAUUAUCGAGUGGCAUCACAUGAUAAUCAAAGGAGUAAUCCGCUAUGAGAUGGGCCCGCGGCGCAUUAGCUAGUUGGUGAGGUAACGGCUCACCAAGGCGACGAUGCGUAGCCGACCUGAGAGGGUGAGCGGCCACAUUGGGACUGAGACACGGCCCAGACUCCUACGGGAGGCAGCAGUGGGGAAUAUUGCACAAUGGGGGAAACCCUGAUGCAGCAACGCCGCGUGAGUGAUGAAGGUCUUCGGAUUGUAAAGCUCUGUCUUUGGGGACGAUAAUGACGGUACCCAAGGAGGAAGCCACGGCUAACUACGUGCCAGCAGCCGCAGUAA
rnacentral:rRNA from 1 species